UACAGAGGGGGCAAGCGUUAUUCGGAAUUAUUGGGCGUAAAGGGCGCGUAGGCGGCCAUUCAAGUGACGGGUGAAAGCCCUCGGCUUAACCAAGGAACUGCCUGUCAGACUGGAUGGCUUGAGACCGGGAGAGGUGAGUGGAAUUCCCAGUGUAGCGGUGAAAUGCGUAGAUAUUGGGAGGAACACCAGUGGCGAAGGCGGCUCACUGGACCGGAACUGACGCUGAGGCGCGAAAGCGUGGGGAGCAAACAGG
rnacentral:rRNA from 1 species